CUCUAACGUUCUGCUCUCUCUGCUUUUUCUCAUAGUAGCUUCAUCUGGUCUGUUCCUGUUUGGCUGUGACUCCAUCCUGGAGAGAAAUGAGCCUUCUCCUUAGAUAGAACACUUUGAACCAAUCUGCCUGUAUGAUCUGGUUGAAUUGUUUCUAUAAAGUGACCUGCGAUGGCAUGUGUAGGGAAUUCAAGCUAUAGAAAUAAACUGAAUAGAAUUGAACUUCUGAAACUGAAUGUAAUUGAAGUAGCGCUUCUUUCUUACAUGAUAUUCAAAUCAAGGCUUUCCUCAGCUGAGGGCUGGGUCCGUUUUAUCAGAUUUGCUUCUGCUUAUUUAAGGAGAUUCUUCCUCACACACAUCUCCACCCUCUCGUUGGUUGAGAAAUAACAGUUUGGUGAAUCUUUCAGUUCUAUGUCCUUGGAAAGAAUGAAGAGUCCUUUUCUGGUUGUUGGGACACUUUUCCUGCUGUCCAUCACUGGCGGGGAGAAUUAUGAAUUCAGGGACAUAAUUGCUUUUCCCAAAGUUAUGGGUUGUAAAUGUAAGUCCAUUACCUACAAGCACUAUGCCAUUUAUGUAGGGAAGGAGGAAUUUAAAGGAAAGAAAACUGAUGAAGACAUCUUUCACCUCACAGGUCCAGUCCAGUCAGCUAAGAAAUUAGCUGACUGUG